CGUCCGUAACGAGCGCAACCCUUGCCUUUAGUUGCCAGCAGUUCGGCUGGCACUCUAAAGGGACUGCCGGUGUUAACCGGAGGAAGGUGGGGAUGACGUCAAGUCCUCAUGGCCUUUAUGACCAGGGCUACACACGUACUACAAUGGCCGAUACAAAGGGCAGCGACACUGCGAGGUGAAGCCAAUCCCGUAAAAUCGGUCUCAGUCCGGAUUGGAGUCUGCAACUCGACUCCAUGAAGUUGGAAUCGCUAGUAAUCGUGGAUCAGCAUGCCACGGUGAAUACGUUCCCGGGCCUU
rnacentral:rRNA from 1 species